GGGGCUCAGCACUGAACAAAUAGAAAAAAUCACAAUUUCUAGUAAAUCGAAUGUGUUUAGAAAUGUUGAGCAAAAUGACAUCCAAAAAUUUGUUCUCUCUCCUUUCAUUUACCACAAAAUUAAAGCCAAAACAAAUCAACAAUAACCAUAGCUAUAAAACAUAAUUUUUCGUGGAAGAUUUCCACUGUUGUUUGUACAAUGGAAAUUGGUGGUGAUUUUGUAAAACUUCUCAAUUUGAAUGGCAAUUUUUCUCUCUC
rnacentral:misc_RNA from 1 species